rnacentral:misc_RNA from 1 species
GGACUACAGGGGUUUCUAAUCCUGUUUGAUACCCACGCCUUCGUGCUUCAGUGUCAGUCGCAGUAUGGCAAGCUGCCUUCGCAAUCGGAGUUCCUCGUGAUAUCUAUGCAUUUCACCGCUACACCACGAAUUCCGCCUGCCGCCACUGAACUCAAGCCCGGUAGUUUCAACGGCAGGCUGAACGUUGAGCGCUCAGGUUUCACCGCUGACUUACCGAACAACCUACGCACCCUUUAAACCCAAUAAAUCCGGAUAACGCUCGCAUCCUCCGUAUUACCGCGGCGGCUG